AUGGAGUUCCCUAAUUGCAAAAACCCGCCUGCCGUAUGUGGAGAUCUUGAAGGACCGUCUUGCCAUGUUUCAGUUCCGAUGACAACCUUCUAUUGGGUUGAAGCUCUAAGAUGGCACAAGAGAACUACUGGAGUACGAAGUGAUGCUUUGAAUGGCCUAUCCCUCAUGAAGCGCGAGCUCGUCGACCAUUGCAUGUACACGAGGGGUAUACAUCAGUUUGAAUAUUCAGAGAUGAAAAAGAUGAUUAGAUGUGCAUUCGGGGCUUUGGAAGACAGGAUCCCGAAGAAUGAUCUCAUUGAGAGCAAUGCGGGCGUCUUGGACGAUUCAGGGAUCAUUCUUGUGCAUGAUGAUGCAGGAGCCCAUGUAACGGCAUUGUUCAAGAAAUCAAAAGAUGGCAGGCUUGUAAUUGAAGGAGGUUUUCGGAAGUAUGUCAUACACAUCCAAAUGAAGGAAGAUGAUCUUGUGGUCGUCACAUUCCACGAACGCGCUGGGACUGCGUCAAUGACUGUCCGAGUGUGCAUCAUAUCUUAA
rnacentral:rRNA from 1 species